UCAAGUAAGUGGUCUCUUCUAGAAGUGUC
rnacentral:piRNA from 1 species